rnacentral:rRNA from 1 species
AGAGUUUGAUCCUGGCUCAGAACGUACGCUGGCGGCACGCCUUAUACAUGCAAGUCGAACGAAGUAGCAAUACUUAGUGGCAGACGGGUGAGUAACAUGUGGGUAUCUUCCCUUUGGUGAGGAAUAACACGAGGAAACUUGCGCUAAUACCUCAUAAGUCUUUACAGAGAAAGCUUUAUGCGCCGAAGGAUGAGCCCGCACUUGAUUAGUUUGUUGGUGGGGUAAUGGCCUACCAAGACUUUGAUCAAUAGCUGAUCUGAGAGGAUGAUCAGCCACAUUGGGACUGAGACACGGCCCAAACUCCUACGGGAGGCAGCAGUAGGGAAUAUUGCACAAUGGAGGAAACUCUGAUGCAGCGAUGCCGCGUGAGUGAAGAAGGCCUUUGGGUUGUAAAGCUCUUUCGUCGGGGAAGAAAAUGACUGUACCCGAAUAAGAAGGUCCGGCUAACUUCGUGCCAGCAGCCGCGGUAAUACGAAGGGACCUAGCGUAGUUCGGAAUUACUGGGCUUAAAGAGUUCGUAGGUGGUUAAAAUAGUUGGUUGUGAAAUCCCGGAGCUUAACUCCGGAACUGCAAUCAAAACUUUUUAGCUAGAGUAUGAUAGAGGAAAGCAGAAUUUCUAGUGUAGAGGUGAAAUUCGUAGAUAUUAGAAAGAAUACCAAUUGCGAAGGCAGCUUUCUGGAUCAUUACUGACGCUGAGGAACGAAAGCAUGGGUAGCGAAGAGGAUUAGAUACCCUCGUAGUCCAUGCCGUAAACGAUGUGUGUUAGAUGUUGGAAAUUUAUUUUCAGUGUCGCAGCGAAAGCAAUAAACACUCCGCCUGGGGAGUACGACCGCAAGGUUAAAACUCAAAUGAAAUUGA